rnacentral:lncRNA from 1 species
UUUUAUUUUGGGCAUUAUUUGAAGCCUAGGGUUUUCACUAAAUGGUGAUAUAAAAAGCUUAUUUUUCUCAAAAGAAAGGAGAGAAGCCACUUUAUACAAAUCGGAGAAUAAGAUUUUUCUCUCUAUUGUUCAGAGAAAAAUUUUCUCGUGCUAGUUGCUUUGGUAGUGAUAAAGGCGCCCACACGUCAAGUGCAGAUCGAACCUGAGUCAUAACCUAGAAGAUCAUUGGUGACAGUUCGUGAUCUAACAAGCGUGGUGGUGACGGAUCGUGAUCUAACAGGAGUGGUGGUGGCAGAUCGUGAUCUAGGAGCCUAAAUCAUUUCAGCGGAAAAAGCCAACUCGGAUUUUCAAGGUACGAUUUCUAGAAUACAAAUUCUUAUAUAUUAUAUGAGAGCGAUCUUCAAAAGGUUUUAUAAAAAUUUUAAAAACCUCAUUUUUCCCCAACAAUUGGUAUCAGAGCCAUCUCAUAUUAAUAUAUAAGAAUUUCGUAUGAAAUUAAUCUUGAAAUUAUGUAUUAGAGUGGCACAAUUUAUUCAGAUAUAUUUUAUUUGUUUAAUAUAUGAAUAAAGCAUGUUUUGGUUUGUCUUAAUUCAUGGUUAGAUUUUUUGUUGUAUUUUUCUUUGGAUCUAUAACAAGAGUGAUUUUUUAUCAUCAUGUUUCUCUCUUGAUUUUUUCACUGUUAUAAGAUUUUUGUAAGCCAAAAAUUGGCCUAGGAAAUUUGUAAAUCAACGGAUAAUAAUCACGGAUGUCAGAUCAGAGGAAACGGAGGCCGGAAAUUUCAGAAGCAUGCUGCCAGCAGCCACGACCAACAGCAGCGCGCGCGGCCCGCGUGGGCAGCAGCGUGCGCGGCUCGCGUGGACAGCAGCGCACGCUGCACGCCCAACAGUUGCCGCAUGCGCGCUGCAAGCGCGCUGCGUGCGCAGUGGCUGGCAGCUGCAGCACGCGACCAGCAGCUACAGCGUGCAACCAGCAGCGUGAGCAAGGGCUUCCAGUUGCGCUCGCGUCGGUUGAUGUUUUCCGGUGUGACGGCGGCAGCAAAUCGGCGUCGGAGAUGCGUGAACAGUCGCUGCCCUUUGUGGAGAUGGCGGCUGGGGAAGAUGAAAGGAAGAAAAAUAUGAUUUUAGGGUUUCAUAGUUUUUAUUAUGUAGGUCCGUAUGAUUUCAUAAGUUUUUUUUCGGGCAGAAAUGUUUCAAUAUUUUGCAUUUAAAUCCAAAAACAGUUUUGAACUUAAAGAAUCUUAGUUUUAGGCCCAAUUAAUAUUUGGGCUUAAUGGAUUAUAAUGCAUAGAUAAAUUGAACACAUUAAAUCUAUUUUUGGUCUAAAAGUUUUAUUUUAAUAAAAAAAUUUUUUUAAUUAUUUAUUUCUUUUUAAAAUUAAAAAUUGGACCAAUUAUAAAUUUAAAAACCCAAUUUCUCCUAGUCCAUUAACAAAAACAAGAUUAUGGAAGAUGGACAUUGACAAGAAGCCCAAUAAAGAUUAGACUUAGAGUUAAUGUAUUUUUCAUUAUUAGGAAAGCCAUGAAUUAAGAUUAUUUAAUUGUUUUUCUAUAUGUUAUGUUUUGGAUGAUAACAUGUCAUAUAGAAUAGGUAGUGCCACUCUAUGCAUAAUGAUACAUGUCAUUUAUUAAUUAUGAAUUUCAUUAUAUUGUUUGAAAUUUGCCUAUGCUUAAUAAUAUUGGAUAUCAUCUAGAUAAUAUUAUAGGAAGUAUGCAAUUAACAAUAUGUAUGUUUUAAAAGGAAAAACCAAUUUUAAAAUAUUGAGUGGGAGAGGAAAAUUCAAGAUAAUUUUUCCACGGGCUCCAUUGUUAGUUCAAUAAUAAAAUUAUAUAUAUACCUCGACUUCAUGAUACGGUGAUACUCCCUUCGGAGGGUAUAUAUAUUAGAUAUUUUAUUUGAUGAACUUCUUCAAAGAUAAAAUUGAAAUAUUUUUCAAUCGAUUGUUCACCCCAACGGUGACUAUUGAUAUGAAAAAUACGUAGAUUGAAACAAUGGUUAUACACUCAACUAAAGUUUGUUAUUAACCUUCCCAACGAAUCUCUGUUAACAAAUUUAGGCCCAAAGGGAUAACGAUAAUUAUUUAUCAUGUCUCUACAUAAAAGUAAAUAAUCUAAUGGAUAAUUGGGUCUAGUAAGUGUACACAUGACUUCCCCAACGGAUAGCUUGUCAAAGCGGUACUAGAUUAUCGUUACAAUAAAUUAAAAUGCAUUUAUGAUUUUUUACAUUUUUGUCAUUUAUUGUGAAUAUUGUUUGAAAGUAUUUAUGCAUGUCUAUUUUGUUUUUUCAGAAAAUGUCUUCCAUCAACUCAUUAUUAAUUAUUCUUGUUAAAAAUGAACUCACUGGCGAAAAUUAUUUAGAUUGGAAACGCAAUUUAUUUAAUAUUCUCACUGCUAAGGGAAGCAAAUAUGUGUUGACCCAGCCUUGCCCUCAUGAACCAUCGUUAUACGAUUAUAGAAAUCAGAGGGAGCCUUAUGAGAAAUUGUGCGAAGCUAACAAAAUGGCUAAGCGCUAUAUAUUGGCUUCGAUUUCUGUGGCACUGCAUAAGAAACAUCGGAGCAUGGAAACAGCCACUGAAAUUAUGGCUAGUCUUCAUCAGAUGUUUGGGCAAAAUACCUAUUUUGCCAGAGAAGCAGCAUUAAAACGUAUUACGGAUACUAAGAUGGAAGAGAGCACAAAAGUUCGUGAUCAUGUCCUCAAAAUGAUGGACUAUUUGAAUGAGGUAGAGAUUCAUGGUGUUCAAAUCAAUGAUAAAUCAAAGAUUAACAUGGUAAUUGAAUCUUUACCUGAUACAUUCAAAGAGUUUAAGGUCGGCUAUAUCUUAAACAAUAAAGAUAUGACCUUAAUUGAAUUAAUGCACGAACUACAUGCUAUAGAAGAAUUUUAUCAUAGCAGAAAACUUCCUGAAAAAUGAUUCUCUUCAAGGCUUAAGUCGAAAGACAAGAAUGAGCAAGCAAAAGUUGAGUUCGACAAAUUGUCCACUAAAAGAAGUGGCAAGUGCUACAAAUGUGGACAGAAGGGUCACUGGAAGAAAGAUUGUCCUAAGAUUAUUAAAAUCAAGUAUAGGAAAUCUUUAAGCUUCCUAAUUAGUUCAGAUUUCUAUUGAUUCAUACAAUAAUGAAUUCUGAGAUAACUAAUCUUAUUUGUAAUUCAUUUAUUUGGUUUUCAGGAAACCAAGAGAUUAAGUGAAGAAAGCUUCAAAUAGCAGUUGAGGACAUGCUAGUUUAUAUCAAUUGAAAGGCUAGAUCAAUUUUACAAGACUUAAAGUUUUGAUAUUUGUCUUUAUUUUUCCAAAUAUUAGAGGAAUAUUAAUUUCGGUGACUUGUUUUAAUAAACAGGAGUGCACUGUUAUUUUUUGAUCCUCUAUUUAUUAUUUAUUUUGGUUAUUUAUAAAGACAAUUUAUAUCAUAUAAGUCCAUUGAUCUAUUCAAAGUAAGAUAUAAUGAUAAAGAGUAUAUGCAUUUAUCUAAGAAAAGAAAUGUUUCUUCAAACCAAAAUUACCUCUGAUAUUUAUGCUCAAGUCAUAUAAACUAUAAUAAGAUUUUAAGAAAAUGAUUAAUGAUAGACUUGUUGGCCUAUUAAGAUUGAUCAUUGUAACUCUAUAAAUCUUAUUUAGAAAAGUAAUAUGACAAGGAUGCUCUUUUUGAGCUAAAAGCAUAACAUUGUAUUUGAUGAUUUAGCGCAUACAAAUGUAUACGGACUAAUCAGUUUACAUGUUAUAAGAGGUUAUGAGUAUUCUAUCAAUCUUGUUGAUGAAUAUUCAUUUUAUUUAUGUUUGUCCAAAUGCGUCAUCAUUCCAUUGCUUUUGAAAUUCAAAAGAGUACGUGGAUAAGACAGAAGCAAUUAGACAGGAACAUAAAAGAACUUCGAUAUGAUCGAAACAAAGAAUAUCUCUAUGGAGAAUUCAAGCACUAUUUGGUUGUCAAUGAACACUAUGAUACAAUAAUGUAAUUAAAUGGAGAAACAAGAUUCUUUUGGAUAAGACAAGAUAUAUACUAAGUGGUUUAUCAUUUACCUUUUUUAUUCCAGAUACUAGUAUUUGAAACUACAAAGUUUAUUGAACUUAGUUUCAUCUAUCUCGGUGUCUACUACUCCAAGAUAUUAUGAAAAAGUCACAAACAUGGUUUGAGACACAUUCGUAUUUGGAGUUUACUAGUAUUUCUACUAGAAUCAGAGAUAGAGAAGAUGGAUUCGUGUUCAGAAGCUUGCAUGUUUUAGGUAUCAAAAAUGAAUAAGGGAAAGUCUGAAUUAUAGUCCUCAAGAUAGGAAUGUAUUUAUAGAAAUAUUCUUUACUUUCUUUGAGGAAGACUAUAUAAUGACUUAUAACCUAAGAGUAAGGUAAAACUAGAGAAAUAAAAGAGAUCAGGUUGAUGCUCAGCUUUCAACACCUGUUAUAGAACAGGAAGAACAGCAAUAACCAGCUGAUCAGCACAGGAUUAUCCUUGAACAACCAUCACUUUUAGAACCUAGUCGUAGUGGGAGGGUAACUAGGUUACCUGCGAGAUACAUGUUUUUGGGAGAAACCUAUAUGGCUAUCUCAGAUGAACAUGUACAAGAUCCCACUAGUUACAACGAAUCUCUAAUAGAUAGAGAUGUUAAAUUUUGGAAAAAAGCCAUGAAUCAAGAAAUUGAAUCUAUGUAUUCCAAUAAAGUCUGAGAACUUGUAAAGACACCAAAUGGGGUAAAACCUAUAGGGUGCAAGUGGAUCUACAAGAGAAAAAGAGGAGUAGACGGAAGGGUGGAAACAUUUAAAGCAAGAUUAGUAGCCGAAGGGUUUACUCAGAAAGAAGGAAUCGAUUAUGAGGAAACCUUUUCUCCGGUUGCUAUGCUUAAAUCCAUCAGGAUUCUGCUCUCUAUUGCUGCAGUGCUAGAUUAUGAAAUUUGGCAAAUGGAUGUCAAGACUGCCUUUCUUAACGGGCAUCUUGAAGAAAACAUCCACAUACAGCAACCAGAUGGAUUUAUACAAAAAGGCCAAGAACACAUGGUAUGUAAGUUGCAGAGAUCCAUUAAUGGAUUGAAGCAAGCAUCCCGGUCAUGGAACAUCAGAUUUGAUCAAGCGAUUAAAUCACUUGGAUUCAUUCAGAACAUUGAUGAACCAUGUGUGUACAAGAAAAUUCAGGGAAAAUUUGUAGCCUUCCUAGUUCUUUGUGUAGACAAUAUUCUCCUGAUUGGAAACGAUAUAGGAGUAUUGACUACAAUAAAGAUUUGGUUAGCAAAACAAUUUGAUAUGAAAGACCUGAGAGAGACAAGUUAUAUUCUUGGUAUCAAGUUACUACGAGACCGGAAGAAUAAAACUUUAGCCUUGUCUCAAGCGGUCUAUAUCGAUAAGAUAUUGGCUAGAUUUAGCAUGGAAAAUUCCAAGACUGGUUUAUUACCAUUCAGACAUGGAAUUACAUUCUCUAAGGAUCAAUCACCUAAAACAUCUGAAGAGAUAGAGAGAAUGAGACGAGUUCCCUAUGCAGAAGCUGUGGGAAGUCUCAUGUAUGCCAUGCUUUGCACUAGGCCAGACAUCUGUUUUGCGGUAGGGAUGGUUAGCAGAUAUCAAUUUAAUCCUGGACCUCAAUACUGGACUGCAGUCAAGCAUAUUAUAAAGUAUCUGAAAAGAACUAAAAAUUAUAUGCUUGUGUAUUCUGGUGAUGAACUUAUUCUGGUGGGUUAUACUGAUUCUGACUUUAUGUCAGAUAAGAAUUCCAGAAAAUCAACUUCCGGCUAUGUGUGUACAUUGGGAAGUGGAGCUAUUAGCUGGAUGAGUGUGAAACAAUCUUGUAUCACAGACUCAACAACUAAAGUUGAAUAUGUGGCUACAUCUGAAGCUGCAAAAGAGGCUAUAUGGCUCCGCAAGUUCCUACGAAAUCUUGAGGUGGUACCUGUUGUAACUGCACCCCUUAAACUAUUAUGUGAUAAUGGUGGUGAGGUAGCUCAAUCUAAGGAACCAAGGAAUCGCAAGAAACAAAACAUAUUGAAAGGAAGUAUCAUUUUAUAAGGGAAUAGUGUAGAAAUGUUAUAUGACAGUACCCCAAAUGGCAUUAGAUACUAAAUGGCAGAUCUUAUUACAAUGGCCAUUAGUGGGAAACCUUUAUAACCUGCACUUAGAGCCCUAGAGCAUGUGCAAUAUGCCAGAUAUGCUUUGAGAGCUAGUGGGAGAUUGUUGGGAAAUUAUGCUCUUUAAAAGCAUAUGUGUUUAUUUAAUUGUAAUAAAUAAUUUUUCUGAUUAAUAAAAUAAAUGAGGUAUUUUAUUCAAAUAUCUUAAUUGCAUUAAUAUUUGUAUUAAAGUCCAUUUAAUCAUAUUAUAUGUAUUUAUGUGAUCACCAUGUGGAUUCACAGAAGACAUAAAUACAAGUUAUCUCACAGAAGACAUAAAUACAAGUUAUCUUAUGAUUAAAUAAAUUUAGUUCGCAGUUGAUAAAUAAAGUUGGGCACUUUAUUUAGGUAUAGACUGUAAUAAAUUCAUUGAAUGAUUUGUCUUAAUCAUGUAUGAAUUUAUUGAUGUAGUACGACUACAUUGAACAGGAUCACAUAUGAUAUUUAAUUAACUUUGUAAUAACUGUCAGACUUAUUAAAUCUCAUAGGCGUUGAUUUUACUGUAAUCUUAAUCUUGAGUUAAUUAUGAUUUCAUGAUUGUAAUUGUUAUUCCAUUUGAGUUACCAAUGGGCACGACACAUCCUUGUAGUCAAGAUUACCCGGUAUCUUGGUGGGAGCAAUUAUGAGUAUUGGAGUUAUGGAUUAACAAUAUAGAAUUUGUACAACACAUCUCUUGAUGGGUUUUCGGCACUUGAUCAUAGAAUUCUCUGGCCAGAGUGUGUCAACAUAUUUAGUAUGUUGAAAAUGAUCAUUAGAGAAAACCAGUAAGGAUCAAAGAAUAAGAUGUUAUUAAAUUGAUUGGACAGUUGAGAUAUCAAUUUAAUUAACGAUGUGGUACAAAGGAUUGUGCAGUAAAGAAAUCAAUGUGGCUGGGGACGAAUUAUUAUUCGAGCAUACAAUUAUGGAAGUCAGUUCCAAUCUUUUAGUGGAGUAGAUUUGGAAUUAAAUAAUUAGGCUAGUUUAAUUACAGGCCUAAUUGUUAUAGCCACUAUUGUAUGUUCCCAAAUGAUCCCCGGGUUAGCUCAUUUAAUUGACUUCACCACUACUGGACUAAUAAGCAAGAUAACUAGCUAUUUGGGUCAAAAGCCUAAAUAUAUCAUUUAGUGAGAGGCUCCAUUUAAUUAGCUUAUGUGUAAGGGGCCUUAUGUUAUUUUACAUGGUGGGUCCCCUAUUAAAUAAAAAGUAACGUGAGUUUUAUUUUGGGCAUUAUUUGAAGCCUAGGGUUUUCACUAAAGGGUGAUAUAAAAGGCUUAUUUUUCUCAAAAGAAAGGAGAGAAGCCACUUUAUACAAAUCGGAGAAUAAGAUUUUUCUCUCUAUUGUUCAGAGAAAAAUUUUCUCGUGCUAGUUGCUUUGGUAGUGAUAAAGGCGCCCACACGUCAAGUGCAGAUCGAACCUGAGUCAUAACCUGGAAGAUCAUUGGUGACAUUCGUGAUCUAACAAGCGUGGUGGUGACGGAUCGUGAUCUAACAGGAGUGGUGGUGGCGGAUCGUGAUCUAGCAGCCUAAAUCAUUUCAGCGGAAAAAGCCAACUCGGAUUUUCAAGGUACGAUUUCUAGAAUACAAAUUCUUAUAUAUUAUAUGAGAGCGAUCUUCAAAAGGUUUUAUAAAAAUUUUAAAAACCUC